AUUUAUGGUCCCAGUUCCUGACUUUUUAAUGAGAAGGCUGACAGCAGGUUUCAGUCAUUCCUGCUAUGGCCGGGCUAUCAUCUCUCACACUUCAAGUCAUGGCACUUCAUCUACUCUGAAUAUUACUCAUUCUGGGAUCUGGAGGUAGUUCAGUCUUCUGGAGGGUCCAGUUAACACCCAGCCUCAAGACUUUUGAGAAGCAGAAAAUGAAGGUGAUCAGAUCAACUUGGGAUUAAUGCUUCUUUGAUUUGGCACUAGCUGUUUGCACCGCGAUAUUGCAAGUCAUGCCUUUGACAAGAAGACUAAUUACAUUGCUCCCGUGAAGGUGUGU